rnacentral:rRNA from 1 species
UACGGAGGGUGCAAGCGUUAUCCGGAUUUACUGGGUUUAAAGGGUGCGUAGGUGGGUAGGUAAGUCAGUGGUGAAAUCUUCAAGCUUAACUUGGAAACUGCCAUUGAUACUAUUUAUCUUGAAUACUUUGGAGGUAAGCGGAAUAUGUCAUGUAGCGGUGAAAUGCUUAGAUAUGACAUAGAACACCAAUUGCGAAGGCAGCUUACUACACAAUUAUUGACACUGAGGCACGAAAGCGUGGGGAUCAAACAGGA